rnacentral:rRNA from 1 species
GAUGAACGCUGGCGGCGUGCCUAAUACAUGCAAGUCGAGCGAACAGAUGAGGAGCUUGCUCCUCUGACGUUAGCGGCGGACGGGUGAGUAACACGUGGAUAACCUACCUAUAAGACUGGGAUAACUUCGGGAAACCGGAUCUAAUACCGGAUAAUAUAUUGAACCGCAUGGUUCAAUAGUGAAAGACGGUUUUGCUGUCACUUAUAGAUGGAUCCGCGCCGCAUUAGCUAGUUGGUAAGGUAACGGCUUACCAAGGCAACGAUGCGUAGCCGACCUGAGAGGGUGAUCGGCCACACUGGAACUGAGACACGGUCCAGACUCCUACGGGAGGCAGCAGUAGGGAAUCUUCCGCAAUGGGCGAAAGCCUGACGGAGCAACGCCGCGUGAGUGAUGAAGGUCUUCGGAUCGUAAAACUCUGUUAUUAGGGAAGAACAAAUGUGUAAGUAACUAUGCACGUCUUGACGGUACCUAAGCAGAAAGCCACGGCUAACUACGU